CCUUCUAAGAGUAAGGAGCUCGUGUUCUGGUUCUGGUUUCGGUUUCUCACUUCCUUCUUUGUUUCUGUGGUCAUGGUUCAGUGAAUGAAACCUAGCUUCUAAUAGCACAAUUGUUUUCUUCAAAGGAGAAUCUGAACCAUUCCACUACUUGCAAUUCUGCAGAAUAGGAACUGACUGUGGCCUGUGGAGCUGUCAUAGGCUGGAAAUCAUCUGCAGUGCAGGAGCCAGCCAGGAAGGAGCUGUUGAAAAUGUUACUGCUGAGUCCACCUGUGCAAGAGCUCAAAAGACAUAGAUGCUGGAUAAAAGGCAGAUUUGAAGGAUGAGUGCAUUUCUCUCUUUGCGCAAGACCCAACCAGCUUCUUCCAAGAGAAAAUUGACAACAUGUUAAGUAACUUUACUCUUUUUGCUUGUCCUCUCUCUCCUUGCUGCAGAUGCUAAUCUGGUAUCCUAAUCCAAUUUCAUGCCCCAGUGAUCUAAAUCCUCUACCUGAUCUCUCUCCUGCCCACUAGUUCUCUUAUUCUUUUCUAAACCUUUCUCUUUCUCCCUUGUAUUGAGCAUGCAUAAAUGCAUGUGUGAUUUCUUUGAUGUUUUUAUACUUAAAAACUACAUCAAUUUAGUAGUUCCAGUUACUAGAUCUUUUUCUUUUCUUUUUUUUUUUAAACUUAUUAAAAAAACAUUGUAUAGAAUGCUCACCAAAAAUUCCAUACUAUAUCCUUCAGAUCCACUGAUUUAACUCCACAAAAGUCAUUCUUACCUAGUGCCAUGGUUCUAAAUAAAUGACAGAUCAGAACUACUUCAUCAAUGCCAUUUGACUUUGGAUCCUGUUGAAUUUAAUCUUGAAAUUCUGUCCUCAUCCUUCUUUCUUUUCUCCCCAUUCACUUGUCCCUUAUCCCCCAGUAGAAAAAGACUAAGUAUAAUGAUUAAGAAUGCAAGCAAUUUUGGUAAAUUGUAAUCAUAUAGAAAAGAAUUCUUAUUCUCAAUUCAUGUAAUAUAUUACUAAGCAAGAUUGUAUUUUCUAUGCAUAUUUUGCUUACUAAUCCUUGUGUUGAUACAUGUCAUCACUGGCUGAAAGGCUACUUUUUUUGGCCUCCAAGAGUAACGUCUGUAAAUUCUCAGAACACUGAUAUAAUUUCAUCAUGAAAGGGAAAGGCUAUUCAAUAUCCAAUUCUGUUUGAAAAGUGUUUGAGAAUCCAUAUCAGUCUAUCUAGUUAUAUGAUCUGUGUAUUAGGCUGUUACAAAACUGUUUUGGAGGAAGAUUAAAAAAAUUAUGAUAGUGAUCAUACUUAAUGUACUUAUAUAUUGUGUGUUUUAAAUAAGAGAUG